CGAAAUGCGAUGACAGGACAAGUAAAAGGACGUUAUGCCACAGAGAGCGAAGCAACCGCUGAAACCUUCGCGCCACUAACUCCUUUGAAACCUACCUUGAGCAGUCAGUUAACCGCUGACCGUUUACUCUGCGAUAAAGAGUACAAGUGAACCACAUCGCUGUGGUUAAUCAAGGUGGUACCGCGGAAAAGCUCCUAUUUCGUCCUUAAU
rnacentral:ncRNA from 1 species